rnacentral:rRNA from 1 species
CAUAGGUUAAUGAGGCGAACCGGGGGAACUGAAACAUCUAAGUACCCCGAGGAAAAGAAAUCAACCGAGAUUCCCCCAGUAGCGGCGAGCGAACGGGGAGCAGCCCAGAGCCUGAAUCAGUGUGUGUGUUAGUGGAAGCGUCUGGAAAGGCGCGCGAUACAGGGUGACAGCCCCGUACACAAAAAUGCACAUGCUGUGAGCUCGAUGAGUAGGGCGGGACACGUGGUAUCCUGUCUGAAUAUGGGGGGACCAUCCUCCAAGGCUAAAUACUCCUGACUGACCGAUAGUGAACCAGUACCGUGAGGGAAAGGCGAAAAGAACCCCGGCGAGGGGAGUGAAAAAGAACCUGAAACCGUGUACGUACAAGCAGUGGGAGCACGCUUAGGCGUGUGACUGCGUACCUUUUGUAUAAUGGGUCAGCGACUUAUAUUCUGUAGCAAGGUUAACCGAAUAGGGGAGCCGAAGGGAAACCGAGUCUUAACUGGGCGUUAAGUUGCAGGGUAUAGACCCGAAACCCGGUGAUCUAGCCAUGGGCAGGUUGAAGGUUGGGUAACACUAACUGGAGGACCGAACCGACUAAUGUUGAAAAAUUAGCGGAUGACUUGUGGCUGGGGGUGAAAGGCCAAUCAAACCGGGAGAUAGCUGGUUCUCCCCGAAAGCUAUUUAGGUAGCGCCUCGUGAAUUCAUCUCCGGGGGUAGAGCACUGUUUCGGCAAGGGGGUCAUCCCGACUUACCAACCCGAUGCAAACUGCGAAUACCGGAGAAUGUUAUCACGGGAGACACACGGCGGGUGCUAACGUCCGUCGUGAAGAGGGAAACAACCCAGACCGCCAGCUAAGGUCCCAAAGUCAUGGUUAAGUGGGAAACGAUGUGGGAAGGCCCAGACAGCCAGGAUGUUGGCUUAGAAGCAGCCAUCAUUUAAAGAAAGCGUAAUAGCUCACUGGUCGAGUCGGCCUGCGCGGAAGAUGUAACGGGGCUAAACCAUGCACCGAAGCUGCGGCAGCGACGCUUAUGCGUUGUUGGGUAGGGGAGCGUUCUGUAAGCCUGCGAAGGUGUGCUGUGAGGCAUGCUGGAGGUAUCAGAAGUGCGAAUGCUGACAUAAGUAACGAUAAAGCGGGUGAAAAGCCCGCUCGCCGGAAGACCAAGGGUUCCUGUCCAACGUUAAUCGGGGCAGGGUGAGUCGACCCCUAAGGCGAGGCCGAAAGGCGUAGUCGAUGGGAAACAGGUUAAUAUUCCUGUACUUGGUGUUACUGCGAAGGGGGGACGGAGAAGGCUAUGUUGGCCGGGCGACGGUUGUCCCGGUUUAAGCGUGUAGGCUGGUUUUCCAGGCAAAUCCGGAAAAUCAAGGCUGAGGCGUGAUGACGAGGCACUACGGUGCUGAAGCAACAAAUGCCCUGCUUCCAGGAAAAGCCUCUAAGCAUCAGGUAACAUCAAAUCGUACCCCAAACCGACACAGGUGGUCAGGUAGAGAAUACCAAGGCGCUUGAGAGAACUCGGGUGAAGGAACUAGGCAAAAUGGUGCCGUAACUUCGGGAGAAGGCACGCUGAUAUGUAGGUGAAGUCCCUCGCGGAUGGAGCUGAAAUCAGUCGAAGAUACCAGCUGGCUGCAACUGUUUAUUAAAAACACAGCACUGUGCAAACACGAAAGUGGACGUAUACGGUGUGACGCCUGCCCGGUGC